rnacentral:rRNA from 1 species
CUGCCGUAUACUGGGGGAUAACACUUAGAAAUAGGUGCUAAUACCGCAUAAGCGCACAGCUUCGCAUGAAGUGGUGUGAAAAACUCUGGUGGUAUACGAUGGUUCCGCGUCUGAUUAGCUUGUUGGUGGGGUAAUGGCUCACCAAGGCGACGAUCAGUAGCCGGCCUGAGAGGGUGAACGGCCACAUUGGGACUGAGACACGGCCCAAACUCCUACGGGAGGCAGCAGUGGGGAAUAUUGCACAAUGGGGGAAACCCUGAUGCAGCGACGCCGCGUGAGUGAAGAAGUAUUUCGGUAUGUAAAGCUCUAUCAGCAGGGAAGAAAUAGCGACCUUUGGGUCGCCAGACGGUACCUGAUUAAGAAGCCCCGGCUAACUACGUGCCAGCAGCCGCGGUAAUACGUAGGGGGCAAGCGUUAUCCGGAUUUACUGGGUGUAAAGGGAGCGUAGACAGCAGCACAAGUCUGAAGUGAAAUGCCGGGGCUUAACCCCGGAACUGCUUUGGAAACUGUGCAGCUAGAGUGCAGGAGAGGUAAGUGGAAUUCCUAGUGUAGCGGUGAAAUGCGUAGAUAUUAGGAGGAACACCAGUGGCGAAGGCGGCUUACUGGACUGUAACUGACGUUGAGGCUCGAAAGCGUGGGGAGCAAACAGGAUUAGAUACCCUGGUAGUCCACGCUGUAAACGAUGA